CUGGCUUCACAGCGAAGUGGGAUGAGGGACGGAAGGGGCUCUGUGUAAGGGCUCCCUUCCGUCCCUCCUACUGCUUCGCUAUGAAGCCAG
rnacentral:miRNA from 1 species